rnacentral:lncRNA from 1 species
GAAAUUUGAAUAGACAUUUUAAAACCACGCUUCAACUGUAAUACCUGUAGAGGUGGUUAUAAGACCAGGAUUUCAUUAGAUUUAAAAAAUAGCGCUAUCAUCUUCAACUGAAUAUCAACGCAGGAAGCUUGUUUGAAUCAGUGAUGGACCCUUGGCGAAAUUGCAGCGAUUCGGAUACAGAUUCCAUACAGGGCAGUGUGAUGUCACUGCUGUCGAAACAUGCGUAGGUAAGUGUUAUACGUAUGCUAUAGAUGUAGAAAAAAUAGAUGUAGAAAAAAUUGGAUGUGAAUAAAUCUCUCCUCUCCUCUUCGUUAUUAAUUCUAUACUCAACGGAAUGUUUUCAGUUGUGAAUAAGAACAGGGAACUACUCAACGAGUGAAGCUUACCAGGACAAGUAUCUCUUUUAAGCUUGGCUACCAUGUAAUUAGACCGUUGUGGAUAGCCGGCAUCUGUACUAGUUUGUGAAAUAAUACGGUAUUCGCCAGGAUCAUUUAUCCCUUUUAUAUACUCUGUCUGUCUGUCUGUCUCUCUCCCUUUCUCUCUUUCUCUGUGUGUAUGUGUAUAUAUGAUUGAUCGCCAGCCACUAAACUUUUUUUCUUUAUUUUCCUUCUCUGCUUAUUUCCGUGUUGCUUUCUAUUGAAGAUCGUAGGCUCGAAACGUAAAAUACUUUCUCACUUCCCGAGCGUUAAACUAAUACAUCUGUUUGUUGUUUAUGUACCCGUCUUUGUCUUCUGUUUUGUGUUUUUUUUUUGUGAAUUCCAAUUAUAUAUGGUAGAAACUGCGUGAAAUCCUUGGUAAAGUUUGGUAUAUUUGAGAAAAAAAGAACGACUUCACUAGUAGUUCUGAUCAGUUUAGAUUAUUAUUUAAAAAUUUUUUAAUAAAAUAAAUUUUACCCUUUAGUUCGUAGAUCUAGUAAGUUUUUUGUUAACUUGGGUGGAGAAAUUUUCUGCAUUCGUUGUCAAAGAGAUCUGUUUGACAGCCCUAGCAAUUGGAUUGAACCCGGGACCAUCCGGUUGGGAAGCAAGCUUCUUGCUACACGGCCACGCCUGCUCCUAUAAAUAUUUUCCCUUAAAUUGUAAGGCCUAAUAUCAGGAAUAUUUAGCUGCUAUUUCUACUAUAUCGAAUCUCUUUUACCUUGGCUUAGUGUUGUUAUUCAGCCCAGGUCCAAUUCUCACCGAGCACACUUAUGAUCACAGACACUCUACUCGUGACCUACACGACAUUUUUUUAAAAGGAAUAUUGUGCGGCGUGAGGGAGAGUGUGUGCUAUUUCUGGCAUGCAGAAACACUGCGUAGAUUUCAAUACUGGUCGUGAAACAGUCUACUUACGGAGUGUCUUGUACGUAUUGUACGAAUUUAGAUUUCUGAUGACACCCCUGGUGCGUGUGUUUGUGUGUGUGUGUGUGUGUGUGCGUGUGUGCGCGCGUGCGCGUGUGUGUGUCUGUGUGUGUUUAGUGUUGUUAUCUUGCAGACUUUUUUUUUUUGUGGCUGAAACGAUUUUUGGUCCUUUCAUUUCACUGGAGGACUUCUCUGUUGUUGCUAUGCAUGAAGAUAAUAGGGACGACAGCGGGAACAUCGACAGCAACAAGUUGAUGAUGAUGAUGACGAUGAUGAUGAUGAUGAUGAUGGUGAUGAUGAUGACGAUGAUGAUGAUGAUGACAACUAUGGUAACAGUUCUAAUGAUGAAGGCAAGGAUGACAACGACGACGAUGAGGAAGAAGGCUAGGAUGACCCUGCUGCUGCUGAUGGGGAUGGUGAUGGUGAUGAUGAAGACAGUCAGAUUUAUCAGUGAUGCAUGUUGUUCAGAUGCUUUUCUGUGGUUCACUAAUGCCUCUUAAUCUUCAGUUAAUCUUAAUCCAAAAGCCAAAUACAGAUUAAACACACACACACACACACACACACACACACACACACGGCAACAAAGCAACAACAAUCAAAUUACCUCUCACUUAAGAACAUCGUUCACAUAAACACCCAUUUUUUCUAAACUCACACACACACACACACACACACACACACACACACACACACACACACACACACACACACACACACACACGCACACACACACACACUUAUUAGCAUCACAAGUACGCUCAUAUAUAAACACACUCAAAUACAGUUGAUACACAUAUUUACACCAUGCAGUCACCUUUAUAAUGACAUGAACAAACAUACAAGGUUACAUAAAUUUACAUAAUCUCACAGCACAUAUUGACACACAUUAACAAUAAGUGAAAGGGCGCAUGGCCUAGUGGUUAAGGUGUCGCACUCACAACUGCGAGAUCGUGGGUUCGAUUCCCAGACCGGUUGCAGCUUUGUGUUUUUGAGCAAAACACUUCUAUCUCACGUUGCUCUGCGAUCACUCCAACGUGUGGCACAGCGUACACCUUUACAGUUAAUGCCGAUCUGAGGGAGGAAGCGAGCUAAUUGUACAGCACCAGCAUUUAUAUAUAUAUAUAUCACUUUUUCUAAUUAUUCGCCAUGUUGGACCGCCGAAAUUUGGAAGUGUUCUUUUCAUUCUCUCUCUGUUCAUUUCCUCGUAUUCCUUUCUGCUGAAGAGCGUACGCUCGAAACAUAAAAUAUUUUCAUACUUUACCGAUCGUCAAAUUAAUACACUUGCUCAUACACUUGUCUUAGUCUUUUGUUUUCUAUAAAUUUCAACUAUAUAGUAAUAAUAAUAAUAAUAAUAAUAAUAAUAAUAAUAAUAAUAAUAGUAUUAGGGAGUAUAACUCCAAACUUACUAUAUGAUAUGGUUUAUGUAUAUCAUUGUUUGAAUUACAUAAUAGUGGUUUUUCUCUAAUUUAUAUAUAUAUAUAUAUAUAUAUAUAUAUAUAUAUAUAUAUAUAUACAUAACGGAUAUAGUAGAUAUAUAUACCCUGGGCAAAUUUCGUUAUUUUUCCGUAGAAUGACAUAAACGACCGGCCUUAAUCGAUUUCCGAAACUUAUUGGGUUCCCAUCUCAGAGAAAGAAGCAGCCAAUCAGUUUAGAGAGAAAAGAAAGGCAGAAAUAUAUAUAUAUAUAUAUAUAUAUAUAUAUAUAUAUAUAUAUAUAUAUAUAUAUAUGUAUAUAUAUAUAUAUAUAUAUAUAUAUAUAUAUAUAUAUAUAUAUAUAUAUAUAAUUCGAGACAAAACCACUAUUUUAAAACCAAACAAGGAAAGACUUAAUCAAUACAUAAAAUUUUAAUAUAAAUUAAAUAAACCGCCACUACAAAUGUUUCAUAUUCGACACCUUAACCACUAGGCCAUGCGCCCUUUCACUUAUUGUUAAUGUGUGUCAAUAUGUGCUGUGAGAUUAUGUAAAUUUAUGUAAAUAUGUAUGUUUGUUCAUGUCAUUAUAAAGGUGACUGCAUGGUGUAAAUAUGCUUCAAAAUUUGAUACUGAUUAGAAGAUCGAAAAUCCACCUGAAGAUUGUCGGUAGCAGACAUGAAACAUUUGUAGUGGCGGUUUAUUUAAUUUAUAUUAAAAUGUUAUGUAUUGAUUAAGUCUUUCCUUGUUUGGUUUUAAAAUAGUGGUUUUGUCUCGAAUUAUAUUAUAUAAUAUUUUACUAUAAAAUUGGAUUUAACCCUAAAUCUGAUUUUUCCCUGUAAUUUUGGAUUCAUUCCCUAAUAUUUAUUAUUAUAUAUAUAUAUAUAUAUAUAUAUAUAGAUAGAUAGAGAGAGAGAGAGAAGAGAGAGAGAGAGAGAGAGAGAAAGCGAAAGAGACAGAGAGAGUGAGAGAGAAAUAUGUAUUUAUAUAGAUAUAGAUGUAUACACAUAGAUUGAUUAGCUAUAGAUUAUUUCUGAUGUAUUUAGUUGAUAAUUCAAUAUGAUCAUUUAAUAAUGAUAAUGAGAAUAAUUGAUAAUGAUAAUUGUGAUUAAUUAAUAUAAUCUAAUAUGAACCUUACUUGUAAAAAUAGAAAUUAAAAAGUAGCGAGUCGACUAAAUUUUAAAAAAUGCUGCAUAGCCUCUCUCUCUCUCUCUCUCUCUCUCUCCCUCCGUCUCUCUCUCCCUCUCUCUCUCUCCCGCUCUCUCUUUUAACACAAAAAUGUACUCAUAUGAGAGUUAUAUAUACAUACACAUAUGUACAUAUCUAUACACACACACAUAUGCAUAUAUUCAUAACACAUGCAGGUGGGAAACUACCACCUGUGUCAUCUCUUGUGAAAGGUAGGAGAGUCCAGUUUGCUGGACAUUGUUGUAGAGCUGAAAAAGAGGUAAUUUCUACUCUUCUCCUCUGGAAGCCAUCUACUCGCAAUACCAGAGGGCGCACACUCUCCUACCCUAAUGUAAUCUCCAGGGAUACAGGCAUCCAGCAACAGGACCUCCGUAAUGCUAUGAUGGACUGUGAAGUCUGGCGUAGCAUGGUAAAUUCCAUUGUCUCGACCACGGUCGAACAAUGAUGAAUGAUGAACACAUGCAUACACACACAUAAUUCAUAUAGCUAUCCAUCCAUCCAUCCGUACAUACAUACAUACAUACAUACAUACAUAUAUGGCGGCUGUUCACUGUUGACUGAGGCAGGCCAUCACUGACCAUUUCCAAUGCAAAAUGUCAGCAAUGUCAGUGCAUGAAGUUACUACACAUGCGGUCGCCUACAUCUGCGUUUCACGCUCGUGGUUUCCCUGCUCGCUGAGGCGCCCUCCUUCUUGGCCAGACAUUGGAAAGGUCGCCAUACAGGCAAUUUCAAAACCAAAAAUUUUAGCUCCAAUAAAGUUUGGACAAACAUCUGACAGACACUCUCUCCACACUAUUCACAUGAUCUAGAGUAAAACCAGAACAACAUAUCCAGUGGCAGCACGGAUCGCAGACGCCGGAAUAUAGGAGUGCAACGAUCUCAAGUGCAACAGAAUUACUCCCAAAAUGUUUAAUGCCAUUCCCUGCACAUCUGGUUUCAUAUUACUUUCUUCUGGAGACAUGCUGUAACAAAAGCUAAGGGAUACCUCAAUCCGAGUGGCCUUCAAGCAUGCUGGACACCAACGCGGAACCUCUGACGGCCGGUACAUGCAUACGUCACGGACUCAGGCAGAAGCCCUGCUUCAGCUGCUCAAUUGGGAUGGUAAAAUAUAACUUGCGUCUAUUUUCUGCUUUACAAUUCCCUGACGACAUUCUCACCUCUCUGAGGUGCGGCUCGGCUUUCAUUUGUGUUUGCUUUAUCACUGACGAAGCAUUUGUCUCCAGUUCCCUAACCGCUGUUCUACUGUUCUUCCUAAGUCCUGCGCCAACCAGUUACAACCAGUUACAACUGGAUCGAGCAAGCGGUAUACGUCGGAGAGGUGAGGGGAGAUAUGCGUGUGUGUGUGCAUCCAUCUAUCUAUCUAUCUAUCUAUCUAUCUAUCUAUCUAUCUAUCUAUCUAUCUAUCUAUCUAUCUAUCUAUCUAUCUAUCUAUCUAUCCAUCCAUCCAUCCAUACAUCUAUCUAUCUAUCUAUCUAUCUAUCUGUCUAUCUGUCUGUCUGUCUGUCUGUCUGUCUGUCUGUCUAUCUAUCUAUCUAUCUAUCUAUCUGUCUGUCUGUCUGUCUGUCUGUCUGUCUGUCUGUCUGUCUUUCUGUCUGUCUGUCUGUCUGUCUAUCUAUCUAUCUAUCUAUCUAUCUAUCUAUCUAUCUAUCUAUCUAUCUAUCUAUCUAUCUAUCUAUCUAUCUAUCUACCUACCUACCUACCUAUCAUCUAUCUAUCUAUCUAUCUAUCUACUACCGCCUGACCGUCGUACCUUGUCCCGACCCUACCAUCACCAAACUAGAACGCAUCCUCUUCCGCUUCUUGUGGAAAGGAUGCGUCCCGAUGGUCAGGCGAUCCAUUUGCUGUCAACACCCGUUAAAAGGAGGGCUGGGCAUGCCGUGGCUGAUGAUGCGCAGACACGCGCUGAGACUGCGACAUCUCCGGCUCUAUUUAGACGACGGUGAACAGGUGUGGUCGCCGUUUGUGAGGCACGCAUUCCCGCAACUCGUCUCCAUGACCGAACUACAGUCGUGGAUCAAAAAGAGGCCGAAGAAGGGCGAAUGGCACCGCGAGUGUCGCGUUGCUCUCAAGCAACUCUGCCGUCCCGGGUCGACCUUGAGUGACUUCAACACAACCAAAGCAUUCUAUAGGGGAUUAGUGGAGGGGAGGUACGACGACGAGCUCGGGGCAAACCUGGGCGUCGACGAGGAAUACCUGACCCGCCUGUUUCAAACGACUUUCGGCCCGGGACCUAUGGACAACUUCCAGAGAUCCCUGGCCUGGCGGUGCUACCGAGAAGCGCUACCCGUUCGGGAUAAGCUCUAUAGGCAUGGCUCGAGAAACACGGGGCCGACCUGCCCGAGAUGCGGGCAGAGCGACGAAACCGCUCUGCACGCAAUCGUGCAGUGUCCAGCAAUUUCCCACCUGUGGGCUUAUGUCGAACGACUGCUGUCACGUGUGGGACGUGUCGGUUUAUCAGCCGAGUCUAUCGUUAAUAUCGUCACGCCUCCUUCCUUCAAACGGGAAGGAAGAGCUAUUUUUAUCAUACUAUGGCGAAAGAAUGUAUCUGGUGGACGCGUCUGAAAGGAUUAGAGACAAACACUUUCCUCUCUGGUCAAUCUCUCAUCAACUUCUUCAAGUAUCACUUGAAGAAAAAAGUGAGAGUAGAGAGGCAAGUUUUGUCUAGUGAAUGUUUUAAAAAAAGAUGGGUGAAUGUAGCAAGGAUGGCACGUAUGAAUGACGAAGCCACCUUGACUAUGAUUCUAUGAACCGUAAAAAUUAAUACAGAGAGUUGCUUAUUUGCAAAAAAAAAAAAAAAAAAGAAGAAAUAUAACAUGUGACUUCAUUGACCGAGGUUACCGUGGUCUUUUCCGUAGGCUUUUCUUUCCACGGGUAAACCUCACCUGUCCUCCCCUUUACACUUCAUAUUGACAUUUCUGUGAUAACGAUCCCUAUUGAUCAAUUUUUUCCUCUCCCCCUUUUUUUUAACCCCCCUUUUUUUGUCCUCUUUCUCUCCUUUUACGAUCCCUUUUGAUCGACCCCCCUUUUUUAUUUUAUUUUUAUUUUAUUUUUUUAUUUUUUAUUUUUUUAUUUUUUAAACCUUCAAAAGAAAAGCUCUACCUUGUAAUUUGUUCUAUCUGUGUGCAUCCCUGUGUGGCUAAUAAAGAAACAUAUCUAUCUAUCUAUCUAUCUAUCUAUCUAUCUAUCUAUCUAUCUAUCUAUCAUCUAUCUAUCUAUCUAUCUAUCUAUCUAUCUAUCUAUCUAUCUAUCUAUCUAUCUAUCUAUCUGUCUGUCUGUCUGUCUGCCUGCCUGCCUGUCUGUCUGUCUGUCUGUCUGUCUGUCUGUCUAUCUAUCUAUCUAUCUAUCUAUCUAUUUACAUCUGUAUCUAACGCAUGAAAUUACGACCCUUGACUCACUCUGUAGCUUUUGCUAAAUAAUAAUAUAUAUAUAUAUAUAUUAACACACACACAUAUAUACACAGAGAUAGAUAGAUGGUGAGAGAAGCAGAUAGAGAUACAAAUACAUAGACAUACACGUACAUACAUUACUGGUUGUUGUUGUGGGUAUGAAUAAUAAACACUGUUCCACACACACAUACACACACACAUACUGGUCAAAAUCCUCAGUUUUAACGAGUUAACUUUCCAACGACAACGGAACAGAGAGACAUAAAAGGCGCAACCUAGACUCCAGCCAAUAUAGAAUCUAAUAACAAUAACAGAACAGAUAAAUACGUGACAUCUCUGACAUCUCUUUAUAUGAAUGAUAUUAAUAAAUUCUCUUUAUAUUAAUGUCCAAUAUGAUUGUCCCGUGAUGUAUAAAAUUUACCUCAAUAAAACAUGAAAAAGAAGCUUUCACCUUAUGAACUACGUAGCAGUAAAUAUACUUUAUUAAAUAAUAUCCAUUCCAAUAAGGUCUCCGACAAUAAAUAGUAAGAGUGUGUGUGUGUGUGUGUAUGAUGUAACCAUGGAAUGUUGGUCCCACAUCUGGAAAGGAGCUGUUGCUGUACAGACAGCCGACGCAUCAUUUAAUGCAGUGGUCGGUUCUCAACCGGGGUGCCUAUGGCUCGUGAGGGUCCACACAAGAUUUGUGGGUGUCCGGGCAACAAAGUAAUAGGCUGUAUGGUAAGAAGCUUGCUUACCAACCACAUGGUUCCAGGUUCAGUCCCACUGCGUGGCACUUUGGGCAACCGUCUUCUACUAUAGUCUUCCCUUACGGGACUGUCACGUUAUGUUGACAGUAUACAACCACUAUAUAUACAUACACAUAUGAACAUAUAUGUGUGUGAGUGUGAUUACGUUCUGGUGGUGGUGUCUUUACGUCUCCGUUACUUAGCGUUUUGGUCAAAGAGGCUAAUAGACUAAGUACCCGGCUUAAAAUUAAUAAGUACUUGGGUCUCCAAGACAAUGUCCCAGCAUGGCCACGGUCGAAUGACUAAAACAAGUAUAAAAAUAAAUGACAUACACGCAUACAUACUUGCAUACAUAUGUGUAUACAAACAUACAAAUAUGCAGGAAGAUUUUGGUUGAUAGCCAUACGUCUGUGUACGUUUCCCUGUCUUUGUGUGCGUGAGAGAAUGUCUAUCGAUGUAGAGAAAUGUUUCUGUCGCAAAUACGGAUUGGAAAUCUUGUGUUUCUAUUUGCUAAAAUCUUCCUAUUGUGUAUUUUUAUUAGACUUCGCCUUAUCAAGAUGGCCUACCCGGACACAAUAUCCCCAUUAAAUUCACCCACACUACUUCCCCUUUCAUCCUACUACUUCCCCUUUCAUCCUUUAGGAGUCAAUAAAUUAAGUAUCAAUUGCGUACUGGGAUCGAUCUAAUCGACUGCCUCCAUCCCCAAAAUUUCCGGCCUUGUGCCUAGAGGAGAAAAGAAUAUUUUCUUUUUAGAAUGUGUCAAUGAAAUUUCCUGUUUCUUUUGACGCCGUCAACUUGCAACCGUUCAGGAAAAACUAAAACUACAUCGAUAUCGCUACUUUGGAAUGUCUUCCAAGUAUCCUUGACAAGUCUGUUCCUCCAGAGCAAGCCACAAAAUAAUGGAAAAUAAACUAAAUGAAUUUCUUUGUCAAUGAAUCUAAAGUAAAUAUAAAAUUUGUCAGCAAAAUCAUGUAUGUUUGUAAACUUAAAAUGCAAACGAUGUUCUUCAGAAGAAAAAUAAUCAUAAAAUAAACGAUAGGCACAAUUUUUUCUAAAUAAAAGGCUACAUCUUGUUAAACUGCUAAGAUUCAUGCGACUGAUUUUCAACUUGGACAAUUUUAAGCCGAUGUCUUCAGGAGAAAUGUGAGACGGAAAGGAUUAUGUUUCUCUGUUUGAAGGCAGGAAACCAAAUACUUAAACAAAGAAAUCAAUGUUAUAUUAGAAUACUGUAGCAUAAUCAUUUAUUUAUGAAAAUGAUACAAUUAUCAAUAUUCAUCUCUCUCUCUCUCUCUCUCUCUCUCUCUUUUUUUUUCUCUCUGUCGCUGUCUCUCUCUCUCUUUCUCUCUCUCUCUCUCUCUUAUGGUACAAAUUAAAUAGGCUACAAAUACGAAUAUAUAUUACAGCACUCCGUCGGUUGCGACGACCAGGGUUCUGGUUGAUCCGAUCAACGGAACAGCUUGCUCGUGAAAUUAACGUGCAAGUGGCUGAGUACUCCACAGACACGUGUACCCUUAAUAUAGUUCACGGGGAGAUUCAGCAUGACACAGAGUGUGACAAUGCUGGCCCCUUUGAAAUAUAGGUACAAGAGAAACAGGAAGAAAGAGUGAGAGAAAGUUGUGGUGAAAGAGUACAGCGGGGUUCGCCCCCCCCCCCGCCCCUGCCGGAGUUCGUGGAGCAUUAGGUGUAUUCGCUCGAUAAACACUCACAACGCCUGGUCUGGGAGUCGAAAUCGCGAUCCUAUGACUGCGAGGCCCUUUCCCUAACCACUGGGUCAUUGCACCUCCACGAAUAUAUAUACAGUACAUGGGACAGCAAAGAGUUGAACUGGCGGCGAGCUGGCAGAAACGUUAGCUCGCCGGGCGAAAUGCUUAGUGGUAUUUCGUCUGUCUUUACGUUCUGAGUUCAAAUUCCACCGAGGUCAACUUUGCCUUUCAUCCUUUUGGGGGACGAUAAAU